GUUGGAUAUUGUGUUAUAUAUAUAUAUAUAUAUAUAUAUAUAUAUAUAUAUAUUUAUUUAUUUUAUUUGGGGUAGCCCCCAAAAUAUUGGGACAUAUAAAAAAGACAACUCUGUUCCGCACAGGCACUUUGUUGACUCUAGAGAACCUCGGGCCAAUCGCACAUCCUCGUGGCGGCGACUUUGCAUGCGGAUGUCAUCCAUAUCAACUUUCGAUGCCAGUUUCUGCACCUACCAUGGUGACCACGGGUAACGGGGAAUCAGGGUUCCAUUCUGUACAGGGACCCUGAGAAACGGCUACCACAUGCAAGGAAGGCAGCAGGCGUGCAAAUGACCCACUCCCGAUGAGGGAAGGUAGUGACGAC